rnacentral:rRNA from 1 species
GUACUGUGAGGUAUGCUGGAGGUAUCAGAAGUGCGAAUGCUGACAUAAGUAACGAUAAAGCGGGUGAAAAGCCCGCUCGCCGGAAGACCAAGGGUUCCUGUCCAACGUUAAUCGGGGCAGGGUGAGUCGACCCCUAAGGCGAGGCCGAAAGGCGUAGUCGAUGGGAAACAGGUUAAUAUUCCUGUACUUGGUGUUACUGCGAAGGGGGGACGGAGAAGGCUAUGUUGGCCGGGCGACGGUUGUCCCGGUUUAAGCGUGUAGGCUGGUUUUCCAGGCAAAUCCGGAAAAUCAAGGCUGAGGCGUGAUGACGAGGCACUACGGUGCUGAAGCAACAAAUGCCCUGCUUCCAGGAAAAGCCUCUAAGCAUCAGGUAACAUCAAAUCGUACCCCAAACCGACACAGGUGGUCAGGUAGAGAAUACCAAGGCGCUUGAGAGAACUCGGGUGAAGGAACUAGGCAAAAUGGUGCCGUAACUUCGGGAGAAGGCACGCUGAUAUGUAGGUGAAGUCCCUCGCGGAUGGAGCUGAAAUCAGUCGAAGAUACCAGCUGGCUGCAACUGUUUAUUAAAAACACAGCACUGUGCAAACACGAAAGUGGACGUAUACGGUGUGACGCCUGCCCGGUGCCGGAAGGUUAAUUGAUGGGGUCAGCGCAAGCGAAGCUCUUGAUCGAAGCCCCGGUAAACGGCGGCCGUAACUAUAACGGUCCUAAGGUAGCGAAAUUCCUUGUCGGGUAAGUUCCGACCUGCACGAAUGGCGUAAUGAUGGCCAGGCUGUCUCCACCCGAGACUCAGUGAAAUUGAACUCGCUGUGAAGAUGCAGUGUACCCGCGGCAAGACGGAAAGACCCCGUGAACCUUUACUAUAGCUUGACACUGAACAUUGAGCCUUGAUGUGUAGGAUAGGUGGGAGGCUUGGAAGUGUGGACGCCAGUCUGCAUGGAGCCGACCUUGAAAUACCACCCUUUAAUGUUUGAUGUUCUAACGUUGACCCGUAAUCCGGGUUGCGGACAGUGUCUGGUGGGUAGUUUGACUGGGGCGGUCUCCUCCUAAAGAGUAACGGAGGAGCACGAAGGUUGGCUAAUCCUGGUCGGACAUCAGGAGGUUAGUGCAAUGGCAUAAGCCAGCUUGACUGCGAGCGUGACGGCGCGAGCAGGUGCGAAAGCAGGUCAUAGUGAUCCGGUGGUUCUGAAUGGAAGGGCCAUCGCUCAACGGAUAAAAGGUACUCCGGGGAUAACAGGCUGAUACCGCCCAAGAGUUCAUAUCGACGGCGGUGUUUGGCACCUCGAUGUCGGCUCAUCACAUCCUGGGGCUGAAGUAGGUCCCAAGGGUAUGGCUGUUCGCCAUUUAAAGUGGUACGCGAGCUGGGUUUAGAACGUCGUGAGACAGUUCGGUCCCUAUCUGCCGUGGGCGCUGGAGAACUGAGGGGGGCUGCUCCUAGUACGAGAGGACCGGAGUGGACGCAUCACUGGUGUUCGGGUUGUCAUGCCAAUGGCACUGCCCGGUAGCUAAAUGCGGAAGAGAUAAGUGCUGAAAGCAUCUAAGCACGAAACUUGCC